GUGAGAUUAGCAUCCAGAAUCUCACAACUCUAGUGGUUGUUCGGCAACUUUCUUAGCUGUCGCUGCUCGAAGGAUAUUUAUUGUGAAUUUUGUGCGUUGUAGCUGACGGAAAUAACCCAUCUAUGCGCAAGAAAAAGCGUCCAACAGAUCGAGGUCAUCAGUUCUCUUUCAACAGAGAGCUUCCUCAAGAGAGCAAAGUUCUUGGCAUCAAAGACCGCGUCUAAAUGGCAAAAGGCGCGCUAAAUCUAACAAAAGCGACCUCAGGUACACAUGGUGCGGAUCUGAUGGAGGCUCUUCUGUUAGCUUUUGAGGAGAAAAUGGAGAGGAAAGGACUGACAUCGAGCCAACUGAGCUUAUCAUCAACUGGAAGCACAGCUAGUCCGGACCCCUCUCUUGUUUCUACACCAUCUACCACACGGUUUUCUUUUCCUUUAGCGUCUUCCACUCCAUCUUUGGGUAUUUCUUUGCCUUCCUCUGAUGCUGUUUCUCCAGUUUCCCCUCCACAUGCAGAACAUACACCACAAAGAAUGCAGAUCACCGCGCCUUCAGCAGAGAACGACCCCAUAUACAUGGUGUAUCUCUUCAGCGAGGAAGCUCUGCGAACUCUGUAUUUUUUUUUUUGUAACACUCUCUCCACAGCAUGCUGUUACUAUGGAAAACUCAUUGAUUGCGAUUUACUAAUCUUCAAUCGACAAAGUCACGUUGUGUCCGUAACAGUUUCAUGUGUAUGUGGAGAUUCAUUCAAGUGGCUCUCCUCCUCUAUCAUGGGAGGAUCUCCUCCAAAGUACUAUGUAAAUUUGAGUCUUGAAAAAGCAUUGUUAUGCAACCAUUGUGAAAAGGGUUUGCAAUGAGUCCAUGUCUGCUGCCUAGGAAGAAGUGAAAAGCACCCCUGGGUAUAUUGUAAAUGGAGAGAACAGUCUACUCAGUGAGCAAGAAUUUCAGGCUAACCUGCUGAUUGUUGCUGACCAUUAUCAGGGAAAUCAUGUCAAUUGCCAUUCAAAGUCACGGUGCAAGUAGAAUGGCUACCUAAUGAGCAAAAGGUUUGAACUAAACCUGAAGCUGUAGCUGCAUAUAGGAAAGCCAUUAUGGGCACCUCAAUAUACAGACAUGCAUAUGAUUACAUGCGGUGAUGCUCAUUUAAUGCUGCUAAGUGGAUCCAUUAUGGGGAUGACACCUACAACAUGCACAUGGAACUAGUCAUUCUUGAUUGGGUAAAAGACUUAUGCUGUUGUUAAUUCUGCACAAUUGCUUUGGCACUUUUCGAAUGCUAUGCUUACUCUUUCUUAUUGACUUAUUUCUCUUGCAGAAUGAAAAUGUGAAUAGAGAUGUAUAAUGUCUCUGCAGAUGUACUAACAUGCCAGGCAUCCGAAUCGUCCGGCAGAGAUCAGGGUUUUUACUGCAAAAACAUUCAAAUUCAGGGAAUUAAACCAUCUGGUCUACCUUUUUAAAUCUAAAUAACUAAUGUCCAUUCUGCUUACCAGUGAUUCUGACUUCCUGCGAUAACUUUAAAUGGGAGCUCAAAUGUCUUACCUCACAUCUUGUUAAAAGAUGUGAGGUAACAAGGGAAAAAUAAUUACAGCAACUGCUGGUACUAAGUAGUGAAGCAUUCAUGAGUAUUACAGUGUAGGUAUUACUCAAGGGACUUUCCAUGCAGUUUUAUUGAUGUUUCGACCUCUUAAUUUUCUUUUGACUGUACAUGUUUCAUGAACUUAUUCAAUUGUUAUUUAUAAUUGCUCUCCUUGACAUGGGCAUUUGUAUGACAAUUUGCUUAUUCCCUUUUAUGCCCCAUGUAAGGAAUGCCUGGAGGGUUAGGAAACCUUGACCUCACAUCUUUUAUAACACAAUUGGGCAUCUUUUCCCGCGCUGCAUUAACUUGGUCCCAAGUUUUACUUUUCUGGCCUGGUAAACAGGGUCUUUCCAGAGCCCACACUACUUUAGAGAUC